UACGAAGGGGGCUAGCGUUGUUCGGAAUUACUGGGCGUAAAGCGCACGUAGGCGGAUAUUUAAGUCAGGGGUGAAAUCCCAGAGCUCAACUCUGGAACUGCCUUUGAUACUGGGUAUCUUGAGUAUGGAAGAGGUGAGUGGAAUUCCGAGUGUAGAGGUGAAAUUCGUAGAUAUUCGGAGCAACACCAGUGGCGAAGGCGGCUCACUGGUCCAUUACUGACGCUGAGGUGCGAAAGCGUGGGGAGCAAACAGG
rnacentral:rRNA from 1 species